UACGUAGGGGGCUAGCGUUGUCCGGAAUCAUUGGGCGUAAAGCGCGCGUAGGCGGCCCGGUAAGUCCGCUGUAAAAGUCAAAGGCUCAACCUUUGAAUGUCAGUGGAUACUGCCGGGCUAGAGUCCGGAAGAGGCGAGUGGAACUCCUGGUGUAGCGGUGGAAUGCGCAGAUAUCAGGAAGAACACCGACGGCGAAGGCAGCUCGCUGGGACGGUACUGACGCUGAGGCGCGAAAGUGUGGGGAGCGAACAGG
rnacentral:rRNA from 1 species